UUUUCUGCCUUUAUUACAUUUUUGUAGUAAGAUAUCCAAACAAACCAUUCUUAUACCACACAAAAGACAGCCAUUCUUGUGAUUGUAAAGUGCAUUUCCCCUUUAACUUUGUGUACAAAAAAAUAGGCAUUUUUAAAAAAUCUGUGGAAACUUCUCAACAAGGCACUUUUAGGCACAAAAAUGAAGAUGAGUCUGCAGUUCUACAUUCACAGUGAAGUAAGAGUGACCCACCACCAUCACAGCUGCCUUCUCGGAGUCCUCAUAGGGUCAGCCGACUCUAGGAAGUGAUAAACGAGACUGUAAAACAUCCACUGCUUUACAGCCUGGGCUGCAGUGCUUUACAACCAUAACAAGGAAAAGCUGCCCAUCAGCACAGCUCUUCGGGAAGUGUCCCACUUCAGGGAGUGAAGAUACACUGGCAGAUUGUCUUGGGAUGACCCUGGGAGAUCUCUUUAGAUGUGUGACUUCUUAUCCUCAACUUCAGGGAUCAUUUUUGUAGAGACAAGGACAUCAGGACUUCCCAGAGCAGAUAGCUCUGAUGCUUACUCUGAUGCUUACUCCGGCAAACUGCGCCCAGUUGAGGAAUUUGACAUGACACUGGGAUUUUCACUCACUGUCCACUGAGAGGGAAGACCUAGCAAAUGGGAUUUCUGCAAAGUGAACAGACCCUUUUUUUGGUUUACAAACAUAUAUGCCAUUUAACGUCCAAGUGACUACAAGUAAUGCUUGUUUUUAAAAAGCAAAUUAUAUGCAGAGAUCAAACCCACAAACAGUCUUUUUGCAGUUCAGACUUUACAUCUUUAAAAAACAUUGAGAGAGUAAUGUUCUGCCACUGUUAAAAUUAAAUCUUAGAGAUAAAACAAACUCUACCUUGACUCUGAAACUGUUUUCAUUUCUGGAGAACUACAUAACUUCCUUAUUUCUCACCAGCUCUCCUAUAACAAGCAUACUUAACAAACUAAACAAACCUGCCCAAAUGCUUCACAUCUUCCAAGAAACAUUGAAAGCUUAUUUUAAAAAAAUCUAUCUUUAGAUAGUCUAGCUUAUUUAUUGCACCUAAUUUGCAAAUGCUCCCCAGGACAUUUGGGGGAAUAAAUACAAAGCAAAAACAGAAGGGUCUUUGUGAACAGGUGAAGACUUGCCUGGUGGGGGAGCAGCUCAGGUGCACUGGCUGGGGGCUUGCAGCCAGGAGGGGCAGGGGAGGGUUUGUGGUGUUUCAAAAGAGAUACUUAUCACUGAAUUACCAUAUUUCAAAUUUUGACAUGGGAAUGCCUUAAGAUCACUAUUAUUGAAGUCCACUUCAGGCAUUUUUCUUACCAACAUAGAAUGAUCUUGUUACUUUGAAUCUGGUAACAAAGAAAUGCAGUGCACUUUAUACCUUUCAUAAACUGGAGAAGGGAUGGGACUUCUUAAAACAAAGUAAAUUCAUGACCUGUAUAAAAUCAGUUUUGCUUCCAAACAGUGUGAAUCUAUAUUAUAUAAUAGUUCUGAACCUGGAGAGUACUGUCUGUGUACUUGAUGUAAGACAUGCUUAGAUAAAACCCAGUUCUGCCCAAUGUCAACAUAAGAUAAAAAAUGUGAUUGGCCCCUAAGUUGUAUUAUCAUGCAAUCUUCCAGUGCCUGGAGAGGCAUACAAAAUAAAGCACUAGAUUGCAGACUCAUUACAGCCAGUUUUAGGGACAAGAACUCCAUGGAACACCACUUAAGAGCAUUUAAAAAGUCAAAACAUUUUAAGGUUCAAAAAAGAAAAAACCCAACCACAAAACUCUAGGAGCCAUGACACUCCAGACCUGUCUGACACUGAGUUAAAAAGCCCCAGAAGCUGCAGGGUGUCUCCCAACUAACCUGGAUAACGCAGGUGAAAGGACUCUUUGCUUUCAGAGUCAAGGAGGUUUGCCCCCAAAUCCAGGCAGCUGGGCACUCCUUUCCCUGCCUCCUUUACGAAAACCUUACUUUAGUAAGAUCAGGCACAAGAAAAAUGAGGCAGUCAUUUAACUUAAGCUCCAAAAACAAAACAAAAACCCCAACCUUCUAAAAAUGCACAUGUAAAAAUAUCUUUUAUACACUCCCAAGUACCAACCAAUCUUGCCCAAGAAAAAAAAUCACAGAGUUUGGGAGUCUAUUUGAUAAGGAAAGUCCCAGGAGUCUCACAACAGUAUGAACCAACAGACUUUUAAUGCUUGAGUCCAAUAUGGUUAAGAACAAUUAAUCUCUGAUAUUUCAGAGUUGGCAAAGUGAAAAUAAAAUCCGAGAACUUGGUGAGGUUUUUGACCCCUACCCCUUUACACACCCACACACCAUAAAUAAGA
rnacentral:lncRNA from 1 species